rnacentral:rRNA from 1 species
CAGUGGCGAACGGGUGAGUAACACGUGAGCAACCUGCCCCUGGCUCUGGGACAACCACUGGAAACGGUGGCUAAUACCGGAUACGACUCACCUCGGCAUCGAGUGUGGGUGGAAAGUUUUUCGGCUGGGGAUGGGCUCGCGGCCUAUCAGCUUGUUGGUGAGGUGAAGGCUCACCAAGGCGACGACGGGUAGCCGGCCUGAGAGGGCGACCGGCCACACUGGGACUGAGACACGGCCCAGACUCCUACGGGAGGCAGCAGUGGGGAAUAUUGCACAAUGGGCGAAAGCCUGAUGCAGCGACGCCGCGUGAGGGAUGACGGCCUUCGGGUUGUAAACCUCUUUCAGCUCCGAAGAAGCGCAAGUGACGGUAGGAGCAGAAGAAGCACCGGCUAACUACGUGCCAGCAGCCGCGGUAAUACGUAGGGUGCAAGCGUUGUCCGGAAUUAUUGGGCGUAAAGAGCUCGUAGGCGGUGUGUCGCGUCUGCUGUGAAAACUCAGGGCUCAACUCUGAGCUUGCAGUGGGUACGGGCACACUUGAGUGCUGUAGAGGAGACUGGAAUUCCUGGUGUAGCGGUGAAAUGCGCAGAUAUCAGGAGGAACACCGGUGGCGAAGGCGGGUCUCUGGGCAGUUACUGACGCUG